CGCGUAGGCGGUUUGUUAUGUCAGAUGUGAAAGCCCCGGGCUUAACCUGGGAACUGCAUUUGAAACUGGCAGACUAGAGAUCGAGAGAGGAAAGUGGAAUUACAAGUGUAGAGGUGAAAUUCGUAGAUAUUUGUAAGAACACCAGUGGCGAAGGCGACUUUCUGGCUCGAUACUGACGCUAAGGCGCGAAAGCGUGGGGGGCAAACAGGAUUAGAUACCCUGGUAGUCCACGCUGUAAACGAUGAGUGCUAGAUGUUGGUGGAGCGAUCCAUCAGUGUCGCAGCUAACGCGUUAAGCACUCCGCCUGGGGAGUACGGUCGCAAGAUUAAA
rnacentral:rRNA from 1 species